GGGGGUAUAGCUCAGCUGGCUAGAGCGGUAGCUUUGCAAGCUAUAGGUCUGGGGUUCGAAUCCCCAUACCUCCA
rnacentral:tRNA from 1 species